rnacentral:misc_RNA from 1 species
GUACACCCCAUCACUCCAAAGAAAGAAACAAGUACAACAAAAUAUCAAACCAUAUGAGGUCCCACAUCAAACACAUUAUGCAAAAUAUGAGGAAUAAUAAGGGGCUUGGGGCCAGGGAAGUUCAUACAGUGCAUAAACCAACUAAACCAAACAAAUUCUAUUAGUUUACUUUAUAUAUCACGUUGUUUAGUUCUAUUAUUUAACCCUAACUCAAGAAUUGAUAAUCACCACAGUAACACUUAUGAACAGUACUCAAUUUUCUACUCAAUAUUUCACAUUUGUCACAAGUAUACUGAAAUGAAUG